rnacentral:rRNA from 1 species
UACGUAGGGUGCGAGCGUUGUCCGGAAUUAUUGGGCGUAAAGGGCUCGUAGGCGGUCUGUCACGUCGGCUGUGAAAUCCCGAGGCUCAACCUCGGGUCUGCAGUCGAUACGGGCAAACUAGAGUAUUGCAGGGGAGACUGGAAUUCCUGGUGUAGCGGUGAAAUGCGCAGAUAUCAGGAGGAACACCGGUGGCGAAGGCGGGUCUCUGGGCAAUAACUGACGCUGAGGAGCGAAAGCGUGGGGAGCGAACAGG